rnacentral:rRNA from 1 species
AGCGAACGCUGGCGGCAGGCCUAACACAUGCAAGUCGAACGGAUCCUUCGGGAUUAGUGGCGGACGGGUGAGUAACACGUGGGAACGUGCCCUUUGGUUCGGAACAACUCAGGGAAACUUGAGCUAAUACCGGAUGUGCCCUUCGGGGGAAAGAUUUAUCGCCAUUGGAGCGGCCCGCGUCUGAUUAGCUAGUUGGUGAGGUAACGGCCCACCAAGGCGACGAUCAGUAGCUGGUCUGAGAGGAUGAUCAGCCACACUGGGACUGAGACACGGCCCAGACUCCUACGGGAGGCAGCAGUGGGGAAUCUUGCGCAAGGGGCGAAAGCCUGACGCAGCCAUGCCGCGUGAAUGAUGAAGGUCUUAGGAUUGUAAAAUUCUUUCAGCGGGGACGAUAAUGACGGUACCCGCAGAAGAAGCUCCGGCUAACUUCGUG